rnacentral:rRNA from 1 species
UACGGAGGGAGCUAGCGUUAUUCGGAAUUACUGGGCGUAAAGCGCACGUAGGCGGCUUUGUAAGUUAGAGGUGAAAGCCUGGAGCUCAACUCCAGAACUGCCUUUAAGACUGCAUCGCUUGAACGUCCAGGAGAGGUGAGUGGAAUUCCGGAAGUUGUAGAGGUGAAAGUUCGAUAGAUAUUCGGAAGGAACACCAGUGGGCGAAGGCGGCUGACUGG